rnacentral:rRNA from 1 species
UACGUAGGGUGCAAGCGUUUGUCCGGAAUCAUUGGGCGUAAAGAGCUCGUAGGCGGCUUAGUAAGUCGGGUGUGAAAACCCCAGGCUCAACCUGGGGACGCCACCCGAUACUGCUAUAGCUAGAGUCCAGUAGGGGAGUGUGGAAUUCCCGGUGUAGCGGUGAAAUGCGCAGAUAUCAGGAGGAACACCGAUGGCGAAGGCGGGGUCUCUGGGCCGAUACUGACGCUGAGGAGCGAAAGCGUGGGGAGCGAACAGG